UAAAGCUACAAAGAGCUAAUGGGGAAUGCCUUGGUACUGACAGCCGAUGAAGGACGUGUAAAGCUGCGAUAAGCUGCGGGGAACUGCUAAAAGGUCUUGAUCCGCAGAAAUCCGAAUGGGGAAACCCUAUCAAGUUAAAGCUUGAUAACUCACAAGUGAAUACAUAGCUUGUGUAGAGGAAAGCCUGUGAACUGAAACAUCUUAGUAACAGGACGAAGAGAAAAUAACCCAAUGAUUCCGAGAGUAGCGGCGAGCGAAAUUGGAAGAGCCUAAAUUGUGUGUACGUGAUAGCCUGCAAGCGUUGUGCACAUGAGGUUGUGGGACUUGCAUCAUAUUUUGCAGAAUAUGGAUUGAGUUAGAAAAUUAUUUAUUAGUUAAAGUCAACUGGGAAGUUGCGCCAUAGAGAGUGAUAGCCUCGUAAACGACAAUAAAUAAUCUCAAGUAAGUAUCCCGAGUAAGGCGGGGCACGUGAAACCCUGUCUGAAUCCACCGGGACCAUCCGGUAAGGCUAAAUACUAGUCAGUGACCGAUAGUGAACGAGUACAGUGAUGGAAAGGCGAAAAGAACAGUGAGAAGCUGAGUGAAAUAGACCCUGAAACCGUUAGCUUACAACCAGUCAGAGCACAAUUAAUUGUGUGAUGGCGUGCCUGUUGAAGAAUGAGCCGGCGAGUUAUUUUUUGUUGCGAGGUUAAGGAGAUCAUAUCCGGAGCCACAGGGAAACCGAGUCUGAAUAGGGCGUUAAGUAACAGGAAAUAGACCCGAACCUUGGUGAUCUAACCUUGACCAGGAUGAAGCGUGGGUAACACUACGUGGAGGUCCGAACCAACCGAUGUUGAAAAAUCGGUGGAUGAGUUGAGGUUAGGGGUGAAAUGCCAAUCGAACCAAGAGCUAGCUGGUUCUCCCCGAAAUGCGUUUAGGCACAGCGUUGGAUUUAUCUUGCAGGAGGUAGAGCACUGGUUUUGUGCGGGCGUCGAAAUGAUGUACCAAACAAUGUCAAACUCCGAAUACCUGUAAUGUCAUUAUCCAGCAGUGAGGCUAUGAGUGAUAAGAUCCAUGGCCAAGAGGGAAACAGCCCAGAACGCCAGUUAAGGUCCCUAAUAUAUGCUAAGUGGUUAAGGAGGUAGAGUUACUGAGACAACCAGGAGGUUGGCUUAGAAGCAGCCAUCCCUUGAAAGAGUGCGUAAUAGCUCACUGGUCAAGUGACUCCGCGCCGAAAAUACACCGGGACUAAAGCAUAUAACCGAAGCUGCGUCAUAUAGUUUACUAUAUGGGUAGGGGAGCGUACUGUAGUAAGACGAAGCUAGAGUGAAAACACUAGUGGAUGAGGCAGUAGUGAGAAUGUCGGCAUAAGUAGCGAAAACAUUGGUGAGAAUCCAAUGCACCGAAAACCUAAGGUUUCCCACGGCAGGCUCGUCCGCGUGGGGUUAGUCGGAUCCUAAGCUCAGGCCAAACGGCGUAGGCGAUGGACAAUAGGUUGAUAUUCCUAUACUAUCUGAUAAUCGUUAUCAGAAGCGGAGGGACGCAAGAGGAUAAGCACGCAGUCGACUGGAAGAGACUGUAUAAGCGUGUAGCUAGGUUUGACAGGAAAAUCCGUCAGAUCGUUAAUGUGAGGCGUGAUGUGGAGAGUCUACGGACUCGAAGGUGUUGACUCCAAAUUGCCAAGAAAAUCUUCGCUCUCGAGAUUAUUGGGUAUCCGUACCGUAAACCGCCACAGGUAGGUUGGUAGAAAAUACCAAGGUGCGCGAGACAACUCUCGCUAAGGAACUCGGCAAAAUCACCUCGUAACUUCGGGAGAAGAGGUACCCUGGUAGCGUGAAGCGAUUUACUCGUGAAGCGUGAUAGGGUCGCAGUGAAUAGGCCCAAGCGACUGUUUACCAAAAACACAGGUCUCUGCUAAGUCGAUCAAGACGAUGUAUAGGGGCUGACGCCUGCCCGGUGUCGGAAGGUUACGCGGAAAUGUUAGAAGCAAUUCAAAGCAUCGAAGCUAAGCCCCGAUGAACGGCGGCCGUAACUAUAACGGUCCUAAGGUAGCGAAAUUCCUUGUCAGGUA
rnacentral:rRNA from 1 species